GUCUAUGAGCCUCUAAAAGAACGUAAGUGCUGCAACAUAGCCGGAACAGGGCCCCGACAUACCCAUAAUGUCUAUAACAAAAAUUGCAUACCAAGACCAAGGCAAGUCCGGAGAAGGGAUCUCGCCAAUCACCGCUGAACUGGACAGUCUACUGUGGUGGGGGAGCUUCACCUGCCUGUCUAUCAGGACCUGCAGCACGACAUGCAGCGUCCGCAAAUAAAAGGACGUCAGUACGAAUAAAGUACUGAGUAUGUAAGGCAAGGAACCAUAAAUAUGAUCAGUAAUGUAAGCAAGGAUAGAGAAUAUACAACCUGUAACAUCUUAGUACCUCUGAGGUCUAAUUACAUGAAAUGCAUGAUACAUAUGUAUAAAUACAUAAACCUUUAAAGCAUUCGCCUCUGUGGGCAUCAUUAUCAUCAUAUCGUACCCGGCCAUAAUAGGCUCGGUAGAAUCGUACCCGGUCACGUGGAGCUCGGUAAAACCCAACUGAUCAGUGGUUGCACAAUAGGUGCCGUACCCGGCCAACUAUAGCGUGGCUCGGUAGAGUAAAAUAGAUACAUAUAUAUAAUGCAUGCUCGACUCAUGGAAUCACAUUCUAAACCUUUCGGAGUGACGUAAGGUCGGUAUCCUCUGUACGCGUUAUUAGGACUAACUCUUCACUAUGAACCUUAUAAGAUUUAAGAAGUACGAACAACAUUGAUACCAUAAGAAUAAGAGAAGCAACAUUAACAUCAAUCGUUCCAUAAGAGGGAAAACAAUGUAAGUACUGCUAGCUUCUAAGAGUAGAGUAUCUUGGAAGCUCGUUCAUUACAUUAUGUACAAUCGGAGUCGUGCAAAAGAAGGAAAGGGAUAUCCUCACAUACCUUGUAUAUACUGCCCCAAUCUUAAGCUAUGCAAUUGUCAAAACUCCUUAGUCUUUAUACAGAAAGAACAACUCCAAUUUGACCUUAAAUUUCCAUGAAAUAUCCCUCCAAUGCUGCCACAACAACAAAAGAGCGAAACUGGCGAUCAAUUAGUGUUUUUCGGCACUAGAAUCACUUUAGAAGGCUUGAAAUCACCUAGGAUUGAUAUUAAGAACAUGAGGGAGUAUUUACAGAACAUAAAACCUUUAAAACAACCUCCCA
rnacentral:lncRNA from 1 species